rnacentral:lncRNA from 1 species
GGGUCUUACAACAUAAUACUAGGAAACCUUUUUAACCACAAUUUAGCCUAGGCUAGAGCAGGUUUCUCAGGAUGUGUAUCAGCUGUUAGAACGAGAUAAUGACACCUUUACAGUCCAUUAAAUAAUACAGUAGCACUGCACUGUCAUUCAUUAAUGGACUUGGCUGUUCUUACCUCAGGGGAGCCAUCAUAGCCUGUUAAUUUCAGUCUGAGGGUUAAACUAGUACCUAAAACCAAGAGAGACAAGCAUGAAAUAUAACUGUUUGAUUCAUGAACAGUGAGUCAGUGAUCCCUAGUUGCAAUUCAUUACCCUAAAACUCACAACGAGACAAGCCCAUACAAAAAACAGAAAAGACAAUAAGGGAUCUGAGAAAACACAUUUACUGUUGCUUAAGCUAGCAUCAUAUUAUAAAGUAGACUAUAACUGUUAGGGCUACUCCUGGGCAAUCCAUGUUCUGAAUCCAAAUGGUCAAAACAGACUCAAGGGGAUCUUUAUGAUGAAACAGUUCGACUCAGCUCUUGCAAUAUUGAACUAGAAUGCAGGAUGUCACACAAACAUUGGAAAAUCAUUUUCUAGGUCGGAGAAAAAUGUAACGUAAAAACAACCGAACUAGCCCUUCCUAGAAUUUUCACAUAACUUGAACUCAAUACUCCUGGAGAGAAUCUGCCCUCCUAACUCCUUCCUUCUUUACCGCAACUUAGUAGUUUAACAUGACUUAGUAGUUUAACAUGACUUAGUAGUUUAACAUGACUUAGUAGUUUAAAUGUACAUGUUAUAUUUACAGUACAGUAGAGGCAGUUAUAUUUACAGUACAGUAAAGUAGAGGCAGUAGGGAAGGCCACCUGUUUAAAACAUAGACUGUCCUUUCCACUUCCCAGACUGCAGUUGGAGCGCUUCCAGGCAACACCAGUCAAACGAGGUCACAUUUUUCCCCCAGCAGCCUUGAGCUAGCAUAGACAGUGCUGCUGCGUCGGAGCCAGGGACUUAUAUAACUGGUCAGAGGCCUGCUCAAUGCUGAGCAGUAGUGAUGAUACUGUACCAGCUAAAGCUGUGAUUGGGUCAUAAAUACCGGUAUAUCACUCUGAUUGGACAAGGGAAGGCAUGCUUGUAUCAUUACAGCAUCUGAUUGGUGCUGGUUUAGUGUGAUGUUCUGAUUUGGUUAUAGGUUCCUUCCACCAUUGGUUAGUUUAGGAUAUGAUACUUACCAUGGAUCAUAAUACUUGCCAUGGAUUGUUUAAAAUGCAGAUUAUAUUGCCAAUAGCAAUACUGUUCCCCUAUAGUCUUGAAUACACAGACAAUACAUAUUGAGCAAAUUAUGAUAAAACAAUAUAAUAACACGUCAAAGCAAUAGCCUAGAGCUACAUUUGACAAUAUGUUGAUUUUAAUAAUCCUAUCUAUGGUUAGGUUGAGAUAUGUUAAUUGUAACAGGCCAACAUCAAAUUUUACCUUGAUUAUCUGCAAGAGCCGCAUUUCUACUGCAUAGUCAGUCUGGCAUCAGGGCAAGUGUGGGACUGCGAAAUAAAAUAAAAAAUAUAUACAUAUACACACACAAAUGUUUUAUCAUAAGUGCACUACAGACAUAAUUGAAGAAGAAUCAAGCACUCAGUGACAGUCAGUAUAUAUUAAAUAAACGGCAUCGCAAUGCACUAUAAUGCGCCAUGCAGUAAGAGCGUAUUAUCAAAUGCAUGUGUGCAGAAGGCAGACAAAAAAAAUGACUUCAUCUUUUUGACUAAAAAAAGAUGUAGCUAGUAAAAACGGCAAGCAGCCUUGGGGGGGAGAGAACCCCAUACACGGCUGCAACUGCCACCGUCUAAAUACAGAUUCACGCAAUCCCUGAAUGAGCACCUGCCGGUACUUCACAAAUGUAUCAUUGAACAGCAAUACACCUCGCUACAUUGUGAUUGUUACAGUUAAUAUCGUAAUGUGUCAAGUAAUAUAAUAUUACAACUAUAGCUAGCUACUAAAUUAAAAUACCAAUGCUGCUGCAUAAACUUGCUGGUCUGCAAGCAAUAAUUUAGCGUUUGCGUCAAGCAAAUUGUACUUGCCGUCUUGCUAGCCUCUCAAACAAAGGGGUUUGCAUUCAGUCUUCGCCAGAAACUGCUAGCUAGGGUUGGCUCGCGCUGUAUGACAGUGCAACACCAAAAUGCCAUGCCAGCUUGGCAGCUCGCU